AUGUCUCUAAUUCUUGCAGUACUACUUGCCAUUUAUAGGAGGCAUAGCAAGCGAUCAAGAAAAGCAAGCGGGACAUCGUACCAAGCCGUUCUCGUUGCAGUGGCCGCAGCAGCUGGUGCGUCCUUCCUCCACGAAAACCUUGCGGGAGCCAGCGCAGGCGGGGCAGGGCACGAAGCGGACGCCCCCGCACGCGUCGCAAACGAAGGCCGGGUCCUGCCCCGCGGUGCCUUCGAGGAGGCGCCGCAGCUCGCCCGCUUCGUGCAGCUGCCUCGCCUCUUCGGCGCCGCCGACGAGCCGGCCCUGACGAAGAGCUGUGUUAGCGGGCAGCUGCUACACAUCAUCCGACUGAUUUCCUGGGAAAUCAGUCGGGUCCGUAGCCGUUCGAUCCAUCGCGCCUAA
rnacentral:rRNA from 1 species